rnacentral:rRNA from 1 species
UUCUCUGAUGUUAGCGGCGGACGGGUGAGUAACACGUGGAUAACCUACCUAUAAGACUGGGAUAACUUCGGGAAACCGGAGCUAAUACCGGAUAAUAUUUUGAACCGCAUGGUUCAAAAGUGAAAGACGGUCUUGCUGUCACUUAUAGAUGGAUCCGCGCUGCAUUAGCUAGUUGGUAAGGUAACGGCUUACCAAGGCAACGAUGCAUAGCCGACCUGAGAGGGUGAUCGGCCACACUGGAACUGAGACACGGUCCAGACUCCUACGGGAGGCAGCAGUAGGGAAUCUUCCGCAAUGGGCGAAAGCCUGACGGAGCAACGCCGCGUGAGUGAUGAAGGUCUUCGGAUCGUAAAACUCUGUUAUUAGGGAAGAACAUAUGUGUAAGUAACUGUGCACAUCUUGACGGUACCUAAUCAGAAAGCCACGGCUAACUACGUGCCAGCAGCCGCGGUAAUACGUAGGUGGCAAGCGUUAUCCGGAAUUAUUGGGCGUAAAGCGCGCGUAGGCGGUUUUUUAAGUCUGAUGUGAAAGCCCACGGCUCAACCGUGGAGGGUCAUUGGAAACUGGAAAACUUGAGUGCAGAAGAGGAAAGUGGAAUUCCAUGUGUAGCGGUGAAAUGCGCAGAGAUAUGGAGGAACACCGGUGGCGAAGGCGACUUUCCGGUCUGUAACUGACGCUGAUGUGCGAAAGCGUGGGGAUCAAACAGGAUUNAGAUACCCUGGUAGUCCACGCCGUAAACGAUGAGUGCUAAGUGUUAGGGGGUUUCCGCCCCUUAGUGCUG